GAGUUUGAUCCUGGCUCAGGACGAACGCUGGCGGCGCGCUUAACACAUGCAAGUCGUACGGGGCUGUUCCUUCGGGGAUGGUCCAGUGGCGAACGGGUGCGUAACACGUGAGCAACCUGCCUCGGGGUGGGGGAUAACCCGUGGAAACGCGGGCUAAUACCGCAUGACCUCGCCACCUCGAUUGUGGAGGCGAGGAAAGGUGCUGAAAGGCACUGCCUUGAGAGGGGCUCGCGGCGUAUCAGGUAGAUGGUGGGGUAACGGCCUACCAUGCCGACGACGCGUAGCCGAUCUGAGAGGAUGAUCGGCCACAUUGGGACUGAGAUACGGCCCAGACUCCUACGGGAGGCAGCAGUGGGGAAUCUUGCGCAAUGGGCGAAAGCCUGACGCAGCGACGCCGCGUGCGGGAGGAAGCCCCUCGGGGUGUAAACCGCUGUCAGAGGGGAAGAAUGGUCACCCGAGGAAAUGCGGGUGAUGUGACGGUACCCUCAGAGGAAGCACCGGCU
rnacentral:rRNA from 1 species